rnacentral:lncRNA from 1 species
CUAUUGAAAACAUUCAUCAGUAAAGACCAAGAGAUUCUCCCUCUCCCGAUCCCCGAAGCAAUUUGUUCCAAGAUUUGAUCUUUAAUGGAUCUCAACAAGAAUUCAGCAACUUACGUAACUCCAAUCAAUAAAGAAACCCACAUCAUCAAUGAUCAAGAAAUGCUUUAAUCCAAAAUCAAAACUCUUCCGACAAUCAUUCUCCUUCCGACAAUCAUUCUCCUACUGGAUUUGAUUUCAUCAGUAUCCAACUGAAAAAGAAAACAUAUCCAAGAAAUCCAUAUUUAUAUUCAGACUAACUGAAAUCUUCAUACUUAUGCAUUGAUCAAAAAAUUCCAAUCAUAUAACUCGGCACGAAAAUUUAAUUUCUAAAAAUACUAGACAAUGACUUCACAAAAUCCCUAUGCCACUGCUAUCAAAAGUUCUCGACAGUAAUUACCAAGUAAUACUUCUCCCUACACAUUGCCACAACGAUCCCUUCCAAGAUUUGAUCUUUGAGGGAAUUCAAUUAUUAACCGACUCAUCUCAAAGAAAUCAGUGUAGAAAACUGGGGCGGUCCCUCUCGUCAGGUUCUUUUGACAUCAAACUGACCGAAACCCGCAUAACCAGCGACCAAGAAUGCAUGAGUCCCCAACAUAAUCGCUUUUAUCCCAUGGGAUUCCAUCGAGAACCGAAAUGUUUCAACCUCCAAGAAAUCCAUUAAAAGAAAUCGAACUCCCUACGGG